GGCUCAGACUCAGUCGUAACAAGGUACCGUAGAGUUUGAUCCUGGCUCAUACUCGUGCGUAACCUAGCUAUAAGACUGGAAUAACUCCGGGAAACCGGGGCUAAUGCCGGAUAAUAUUUAGAACCGCAUGGUUCUAAAGUGAAAGAUGGUUUUACUAUCACUUAUAGAUGGACCCGCGCCGUAUUAGCUAGUUGGUGGGGUAAUGGCUUACCAAGGCAACGAUACGUAGCCGACCUGAGAGGGUGAUCGGCCACACUGGAACUGAGACACGGUCCAGACUCCUACGGGAGGCAGCAGUAGGGAAUCUUCCGCAAUGGGCGAAAGCCUGACGGAGCAACGCCGCGUGAGUGAUGAAGGUCUUCGGAUCGUAAAACUCUGUUAUUAGGGAAGAACAAAUGUGUAAGUAACUGUGCACGUCUUGACGGUACCUAAUCAGAAAGCCACGGCUAACUACGUGCCAGCAGCCGCGGUAAUACGUAGGUGGCAAGCGUUAUCCGGAAUUAUUGGGCGUAAAGCGCGCGUAGGCGGUUUCUUAAGUCUGAUGUGAAAGCCCACGGCUCAACCGUGGAGGGUCAUUGGAAACUGGGAAACUUGAGUGCAGAAGAGGAAAGUGGAAUUCCAUGUGUAGCGGUGAAAUGCGCAGAGAUAUGGAGGAACACCAGUGGCGAAGGCGACUUUCUGGUCUGUAACUGACGCUGAUGUGCGAAAGCGUGGGGAUCAAACAGGAUUAGAUACCCUGGUAGUCCACGCCGUAAACGAUGAGUGCUAAGUGUUAGGGGGUUUCCGCCCCUUAGUGCUGCAGCUAACGCAUUAAGCACUCCGCCUGGGGAGUACGACCGCAAGGUUGAAACUCAAAGGAAUUGACGGGGACCCGCACAAGCGGUGGAACAUGGGGGUUAAUUCGAAGCAACGCGAAGAACCUUACCAAAUCUUGACUUCCUUUG
rnacentral:rRNA from 1 species